rnacentral:tRNA from 1 species
UGGAGCAGUGGCAGCUCGUCGGGCUCAUAACCCGAAGGUCGUAGGUUCGAAUCCUACCCCCGCUACCA